UACGUAGGGCGCAAGCGUUGUCCGGAAUUAUUGGGCGUAAAGAGCUCGUAGGUGGCUUUGCAAGUUAGAGGUGAAAGCCCGGGGCUCAACUCCGGAAUUGCCUUUAAAACUGCAUCGCUAGAAUUGUGGAGAGGUAAGUGGAAUUCCGAGUGUAGAGGUGAAAUUCGUAGAUAUUCGGAAGAACACCAGUGGCGAAGGCGACUUACUGGACACAUAUUGACGCUGAGGUGCGAAAGCGUGGGGAGCAAACAGG
rnacentral:rRNA from 1 species